rnacentral:rRNA from 1 species
GAUGAACGCUGGCGGCGUGCCUAAUACAUGCAAGUCGAGCGAACGGACGAGAAGCUUGCUUCUCUGAUGUUAGCGGCGGACGGGUGAGUAACACGUGGAUAACCUACCUAUAAGACUGGGAUAACUUCGGGAAACCGGAUCUAAUACCGGAUGAUAUUUUGAACCGCAUGGUUCAAAGGUGAAAGACGGCCUUGCUGUCACUUAUAGCUGGAUCCGCGCUGCAUUAGCUAGUUGGUAGGGUAACGGCUUACCAAGGCAACGAGGCAUAGCCGACCUGAGAGGGUGAUCGGCCACACUGGAACUGAGACACGGUCCAGACUCCUACGAGAGGCAGCAGUAGGGAAUCUUCCGCAAUGGUCGAAAGCCUGACGGAGCAACGCCGCGUGAGUGAUGACGGUCUUCGGAUCGUAAAACUCUGUUAUUAGGGAAGAACAUAUGUGUAAGUAACUGUGCACAUAUUGACGGUACCUAAUCAGAAAGCCACGGCUAACUACGUG